rnacentral:misc_RNA from 1 species
GGAGUAAAAGUCGUAACAAGGUUUCCGUAGGUGAACCUGCGGAGGGAUCAUUACCACUAAAUUGGUGGGUUUCCUUCUUUCGGAGGGCCCGCCUCCAAACACUGUGCACAUUUCGAGGUGGGAGGUGCUCCUUUUUAGUAAGGAGGGCCUCGCUCUUCAACCCAGUUUUCAGUCUUUUCGUUUUGCAUGGUAGUGCAAGAGGAGGAGAAGAUGAACCACGAGACCCAACCAACGAGACCAAAACAAACACAACUACAAACAGUGGAUGUCUUGGCUCCC